GUGAAAGCUACAGCCCAGCCAGAGUCUAUUAGUUUCACCAUCAGACACAUUUAUUUUCAAGGUCGGAAAGAACCUGCAAUGACUGUUUGAAAAGCACAGCAGAUCAAGGAGCAAAGCAGCAGGACAGUUUGAAUUGGUCAAUUGCACAAUCAUGAGAUCACAAGAAGUUAUUGUUUG